rnacentral:rRNA from 1 species
ACGCACGCUGGCGGCGUGCUUAACACAUGCCCGUCGAACGGAAAGGCCCUGCUUUUGUGGGGUGCUCGAGUGGCGAACGGGUGAGUAACACGUGAGUAACCUGCCCUUGACUUUGGGAUAACUUCAGGAAACUGGGGCUAAUACCGGAUAGGAGCUCCUGCUGCAUGGUGGGGGUUGGAAAGUUUCGGCGGUUGGGGAUGGACUCGCGGCUUAUCAGCUUGUUGGUGGGGUAGUGGCUUACCAAGGCUUUGACGGGUAGCCGGCCUGAGAGGGUGACCGGCCACAUUGGGACUGAGAUACGGCCCAGACUCCUACGGGAGGCAGCAGUGGGGAAUAUUGCACAAUGGGCGGAAGCCUGAUGCAGCAACGCCGCGUGCGGGAUGACGGCCUUCGGGUUGUAAACCGCUUUCGCCUGUGACGAAGCGUGAGUGACGGUAAUGGGUAAAGAAGCACCGGCUAACUACGUG